rnacentral:rRNA from 1 species
UACGGGGGGGGGCAAGCGUUGUUCGGAAUUACUGGGCGUAAAGGGCUCGUAGGCGGCCAACUAAGUCAGACGUGAAAUCCCUCGGCUUAACCGGGGAACUGCGUCUGAUACUGGAUGGCUUGAGUUUGGGAGAGGGAUGCGGAAUUCCAGGUGUAGCGGUGAAAUGCGUAGAUAUCUGGAGGAACACCGGUGGCGAAGGCGGCAUCCUGGACCGGCAUUGACGCUGAGGCGCGAAAGCCAGGGGAGCAAAGCGGG